AAUUGCAGUGCUUAAAUACAGAAAAGUUCAACGACUUUAAAGAAUCCCACUCCUCGGAAAUAGCUAGUUGAAGCUAGGAUAGCAUUACUCCUAAAAACCAGCAACUAAUUCAAAUAAUAACAAAAAGAUCAGAUUUCAAAAAUCAAAAGCCCAACAGUAGAAACUGUUAGAUUAUAGCAUCCAUACAUCAAGAUGCUGAUUUAGUAGAAAUCUAGAACCAGACAGGUUAGAGAUUCACAUACAUUUGGGCAUAUGAUUGCACGAACUUCACGAAGAGCUUUCUUUACAAAUACCUUGUUACUUGUAUCUCCAGAUAUUGACUGCAAACACAGCAGAACAAAAUAUAACAUGUAUAAGAACAAAGAAUCAUUUAAAUAAGCCGAUGACGUGAAUCAUAUAUAAAUGCCUUUCUAAACGCUACUUCAUUGAAAGCACAUGAUCUCACUUCAACAUAAGUUCCAAAAGCUUCAUAAGUUCCAAAACCGUAUUCAUUGUAACAGUUUCUAACAUUUCCUACUAACGCCACCAUUAACCAUAUUCAUUUAUUACAAGUAUAAUUAUAUGUUUGAUCGAUUAUAAAAUAGUACUAAUUUUAUAUGAUUGAUAAAGAAAUGAAUUUCAAGUUGCAAAGAUAUUUUUUAUUUCUAUUUUGUACUUUGUAAAGAUUUUAAAUUUGUAUUGUUCAUUUUUUUUUUUGAUAGUGUGUUAUUGCUUCCUCUUCUUUGGAUUGUUUGGUUGCUUCCUCCACCCACAGUUGAGCGUCUUGUAUUAACUCAAUCACUGUAAGUUCUUUGGCAAUUAAAUUAUUUAAUUUAAUUUUACUGUUAUUGAAAUUAUGAUUGGAGAAAUGUGACCCUUUUACUACGAUUUGACAAUAUGGAACACAUUAAUAUCUUGCAGUAAUGCUCAUCUGCCUUUAAUUGCACAAAGUGUGAGGCGUAAAAGAAUUGGUAUUGCAUUGACAAUAUGGUUGCAAAUUUGUAGAAUUGCAAGUUGGUUUUUACUUACAUUGGGUGCCAUCCAUAGCCUACAUGCUUAUAGACCAAGGAUUAGGUCCUAUAUUUUAGAUUUUUAUGCACAACGGGAUUAUGUGAAAAGGCUUGUAUAUGCUAGUGGCGAGACCUGUAUUGAACAAGUUAGGAUGAAUAGAUUUGCCUUUUUCAAACUAUGUGAGAUGUUACAAAUGUUAGGGGGAUUGAAGUCGUCAAGGAACAUGCUUGUUGAUGAGCAAGUGGCAAUAUUUUUACUUAUCAUUUCCCAUCACCUUAAAAAUCGAGUUAUCAAGCAUCACUUCAAUAGGUCCGAGGAAACUGUUAGCAGAUCAUUUCAUAGUGUUUUAAAUGUUGUCAUACGCUUACAAGAUGUGUUAUUUAAAAAGCCAGAGCCUAUUACAGCUAAUUCUUCAAACACAAUGUGGAAAUGGUUUAAAGUAUUGGACUGAGUUUUAUAUAUAGCUUGUACAUAAUUUAGUUGAUUUAGAUUUAAAUUUAGUAUCCUAACUCAAGGUUUUAUAACAUGUGAUAUAGAAUUGUUUAGGUGCUCUUAAUGGAACCCACAUCAAGAUUAGGGUUCCAAUAGUUGAUAAACCUAGAUAUCGAACGCGAAAAGGUGACAUAGCAACAAAUAUGCUAGGUGUUUGUACACCUGAUAUGCAAUUUGUUUAUGUUCUUCCUGGUUGGGAAGGUUCUGUUGCUGAUGGACGAGUUUUUCGAGAUGCUAUUAAUAGGAGACAUGGACUAAAAGUUCCUCAUGGUAAAAUGGAUUGUUAUAGGACUUUGAAUUAUUCAUUAAGAUCAAACUUUUUGUGCUGAAUUAAUCAUUUUAAAAAAAAGUUUUAUUUUAUAGGUUGUUAUUAUCUAGUUGAUGCUGGAUACACAAAUUGUGAGGGAUUUCUUGCACCUUUUAGAGAACAACGAUAUCAUUUGAACGAGUGGUGUCAGGGUUAUUAGCCAAGUUCUCUGCAAGAGUUUUUUAAUAUGAAACAUGCCUCAGCACGUAAUGUUAUUGAAAGAUGCUUUGGGUUAUUAAAAGUUAGAUGGGAAAUACUUAGGAGUCCAUCAUUCUAUCCUGUAAAGGUGCACAAUAGAGUCAUUAUUGCAUGUUGUUUGCUCCAUAAUUUUAUUCGAACCCGUAUGAGUAUUGAUCCUAUUGAAGCGGAUGUGGGAGAAGGAUUACCUAGUAAUGUGGUAGAUGACGAUGAACCGAAUAUCGUAAAUAUUCAUCCAUCGGAUGCUUGGGCUACUUGGAGGAUGGAACUAGCCAACCAAAUGUUCAAUGAAUGGCAAGCAUCUAGAAAUUAGUUAGGUUUAGGGACAAAAUGAGUUUGAGUUAAUUUGUUUAUGUUAUUUUAUGUAUCUAGUUUGUGAAACUUUGGUGGUGUUUGAAUUGAUUUUUGUAUUGUACUAAACUUGUUGAAUUAUAAUUUAAUUUCUUUUCAUUCAGCAUGUGUUAUAAUUUUAUACAGUGUUGAGCUUUUGAUUCAUGAUAUUGAACUUAAUUAUAAUUUUAUAAAAAGUUCAUCUUUUGAUAUUAAUAGUAAUUAAUAUAAUUUGUUUUUUUUCUUAAGAUAAUUAUGUCAGGUGUUUCAGAAUCAAAUGUUUCUUCUCAAGCUUCUCGAUGAACCAAAAGGAAAUAGGUUCCAGAAGAAGAUGCAGCAUUGGUUUCCUGCAUGGUGGACGUGCACAAUGUUGGAACAUUUAAUGCCGAUACUGGGUUCAAAGCCGGUUAUUUAAAUGAGUUGAAAAAAAUGCUAGAAAAGGCUUUACCCAAUGCAAUGUUGAAGGCUAGACCUAAUAUUGAAUCGAGGAUUAGGUUACUAAAAAGGAAAUGAUCAAUCGUGUAUGACAUGCUUAAUGGCCAAAACAAUAGCGGUUUUGGUUGGGACGAGCAUAGGCAGCUCAUUCUUGCUGAAGAUGCGGUUUGGGACUCUUAUUUAAAGGUAAGAAUUAUUUCAAGUCUUUAUUAUCUUAUUUUUACCAAACUUAUAACUAAUAUGAUUUCCUCAUUUUUUUAGAGUCACAAAGAAGCCGUUCAAUUCAGACAUCGUACUUUCCCUUACUACGACCACCUUACUGCCAUAUACGCAAGAGAUCGAACGACUGGGAAAGAUGCUCAAACAGCCGCUGAUGUUCUUGAAGAAAUAAAUACUCAGGGUGACCUACUAUAGAUAUGAAUGAAGAAAGAAACGAAUUCUAUGACUGCGAAGUUGACAUCUCUUUGGAUGACAUGGAUGUUUCUGCUACGGAGCCGCGACGAGAUAGAAACCAAGGGGGUUCCUCAUCUUCAAACAAGAGAAAGAAGAAUUCUGAUGCAGGUGAUAAUAUUUCUUCUUCAUUUAAUGAGGCUGCCACUUUAUUGCCCAAAAACAUGCGGGCCAUUGGCGAACAAAUCAGUAGGAGUAUUGCCUCCGAUGUGGUAGUUCAAUAAAAGUCAGAAGAAUUCCAGAUCAUCCAAGAAAAAACUACAAAUUUAUAGUCAACCUUAUGUGAAAUAGAAGGUUUAACAGUGGAUGAACGGUAUCGAGCAUUGAGUAAAAUUCCAAAUCAUCUAACUCAAAUGCUCAUUUUCUUUAGUUUACAUUCUGAUGUGCGGUUGGAAUAGGUCAGAAGAUUUCUUGCUGACCAUUAAACUUCUUAUUUCUGUUGAUGAUAUUUUCGUAACUUUUUCUGUUUGUAAUAUUUGGGAUGGUAUGUCAUUACAAUCUUCUAACUUUUUGAUGUUCUAAAACUGUAUAACAUAUGGAUUAUGACAUAGAAUUUCAUGAAUUUCAUUUAACCUUUUGUUAAUAUAUGAAAAUUAUGUUUAUGCAAAAUAUAAUUCUCAAGUUAUUUAUUACUGGUAAUAUUUUUUUAUUGUAGAAUAAUUAAAUUAUUUGUUCCACUAAUGAUAUUUUAGCACAUUAAAAUAUGUAUUGCAGUUUAAAAAUAAUAAAGUAGAUUAUAAAUUAUAUUUAAUAAUAAUUAUUUUAAAUUAUAUUUUAUAGUAUUAUAUAUUAUGAUUUUAGUAAAUUCAUAUAAGAAUAUUUAAUACUAAGAAUUUUAUCAAAUUAUAUAUUUUUAUAAAAUUAUAUUUAAUAAUAAUUAAUUUAAAUUAUUUUUUAUAGUAUUAUAUAAUAUGAUUUAGUAAAUUCAUAUAUUUUAUUAAAUUAUAUAUUUUUAUUAAAUUAUAUUUAAUAAUAAUUAUGUUAAAAUAUGAUUAAAUUAUUUAUUAUUUAUAUUAAUAAUCUUAUUAAAAUUCAAUAACAAUAACAAUAAUCAUCUACCUAAAAAAAAUUCUGCUAAGAGUAUUCUAGUCAUUUUCAUUUUUUUUCCUUAUGCUAUUACACCUCUAUUCCAUUCAACCAAACACAAGAAUACCAUUACGCCUCUAUUCCAUUCCAUUCAACCAAACAAAAGAAUUAUCUAUUACGCCUCUAUUCCAUUACGCAUCUAUUCCAUUACACCUCUAUUCCAUUACAGCGAACCAAACGUGCCCUUAAUGUUAUAACAAAAUUAAGCAACCUUGACACUAGUUAGUGCCAAAGCUUCAUAUUUUUUGCUUUAACCUCGAUAGUAAUUAACGUUGACAUCAAAUUUAUUUAACGAAACUUGAUAGGAUAAAAUAUGUAACAAAUUCCUGUAUUAUUUGUACAUUUAAAAUUUAGUCCACUACUUUUUAAUUUAAAAAUGCAAGUUUAGUUGUUAAUAUCAUUAAAAUUCCUUCAUUAAAUUUGAAUUUAUUACAAUCAAUUGAUUUUUUUAAAAUUUCAAAAAAAAAAUGUGAUAUGUCCAGUUAGCUUUUUGUUUAGGAGAAAACAGCACAACGACCAUUUCGAGUAAUUAAUAAAGAUGUUGUCUAAAUUAAUAAAAUAAAUUAAAUGAUUCAUAUUUUAAAAUGACUAAUUAAAUAGUUUACAAUAAUAAUUAAUAAAUUAAUUAAGUCAUUUAAAUAGAAUAACUCAAACUGAUUUUUUUUCCUUUCAAUUGGAACAAUUUUUUUAAUCUUUUAUUUUUAUUUUUAAGAUGGGUUUACUUAUAAAAAUAAAAUAAAAGAAAUUCCAUAGUAAUUGAUAAAUUAUAAAAUCAUAAGAUUUAUUCGUUUUAAUUUUUUAUUAUAUUAUUAUAAAGACAAAAAUUUUGAGAGAAAAAAAUAUUGUCGAUUUUUAUUAAAAAAUUGAUAUAUUUUUAUUAAGUAUAUAUUAAAUUUGAUACUAUUUUUUGAAGAAAUUGUAUUUGAAUAUGAUAUUUAAAAUAUAAUGCUGUCUGCCGUAUUGGCAUGGGUUUCUGUCUGCCGUAUUGGCACGUUUCUUUGUUCUUUGUUCUGCUUCCUGGGGUUUUUUCUUUUCAAUUCGAGGGUUCAGAUUUGUGUUGUUUUAUGAUUUAAGUUGUUUUGCUAUUCGGCUGUAGAAGGUGCAAACGGUGAGAUGGAAGAAGCAAUGGAAAUUUUGAAUUUGAUGGAUGAUGAGGAGGAUGCUUUUCAAGAGGAUUAAUCAACUUUGCCUGGUGGGGCGGUGCUCAACAGAUAGUGUUGUUCAUUUCACGUCAUUACGCAACAUGUUGGUAGAUCUUUGGCAUCCCAUAGGAGGGAUUUGUAUAACGGAGAUAGGAGAAAAAUGGUAUCUUUUCCAAUUUUUUCAUGAGAUUGAUAUUGAAAGGGUUAUUACGGGGACUCCAUGGUUUUUUAAUAAUCAUUUACUCAUUUUGCAAAGAGUACCUGUUGACGGGAACCCAGCGGUGAUGGAUUUAAAUCACACGGAGUUUUGGGUCCAAGUUCAUGAUUUACCGCCGGGAUUGAUGAGUGCUUCGAUGGCCAAACAGUUUGGUGAUUUUUGUGGCAAGUUUAUUGAGUAUGACACAUCUAUUCCGACUCUGGAAAUUCAUCAUUAUAUGCGUAUUCGUAUCUGGUUAAAUGUUGCUACCCCGCUGAAGCGGAAAAAGAAAGUCUUGAUAGGGAAAUCUAUGGUGGUGUAUGCUAGGUUUUAGUAUUAGAAGUUAAGUUUAUUUUGUUUUGUUUGUGGUAAACUGGGGCACGGAGAAAGUUACUGUCCUGUUAGACUGGCUAUUGAACCGUCAAAAAUAGUCUUUGGUUGGGAUUUAUCGCUACGUGCAGUGGUCAAGCGUCGGAAUAUGGCGGCAAGCAGGUGGUUGCGUGCAAUAGAUGGAUCUCCGUAUAGUGGGGAAAAUUCGGCAGGUGUUAUGUAUGGUAAUAUAAGGGGUUUUGGGAGAAAUUUGAAUCCUAAUCUAAUCCCUUUAGGUCCUGAUUCAAUUCAAGGCGGUGGUAGACCGGUUAAGAAGUGAGAUGGGUAUUUUGAUAAUUUGACUGCAAAUGGGAUUGUUCAGGGGGAAAUGGAGUUGGAUUUAGAGGAGGAAAAUGAGCCAUUAGAGUUGGCUGAGGGGAAAAAGUGUCAGCGACUAGUGGAGAGUUCGCGUGUUCUGUUGGAUUCUAAUGUGGGAUCUGGUUCUAUGAAUGUUUCGGCUAGCUCUAAAAUUCAUAGCAGCCGGGCUCGAUGAAAAUCCUAAGUUGGAACGUUCGUGGUUUGGGGAGACCACGAACGGUUUUAAGGCUCAAAAACAAGUUGAGAGUAAUUAAUCCCCGAAUUUUGUUUCUCAUUGAGACAAAAUUAUGUUCAAAGAAAAUGGAGAUGGUAAGAUUGAAGUGUGGUUUUGAGAAUGGCAUUGAUAUUGAUCCUAUUGGUACGAAAGGGGGUUCGUCAUUAGGUUGGAAAGAAAAUAUGUUGGUAAAGCUUAAAAGUUACUCUUCCUUUCACGUUGAUGUUGAAGUUCAUGAUAAUGACUGUGGAAACAUUUGGAGGUUCACUGGUUUCUAUGGGCAUCCAGAUGAAAGGCGUAGAGGUGAUUCGUGGAAUUUGUUACGCCAGUUGCAUCAAGAUCAGGAUCUGCCUCGGGUUGUGAUGGGGGAUUUCAACGAAAUUAUGGAUUCUUUUGAGAAGAAGGGUGGUAGACUUCAACCAUUUGGGCAGAUGAGGGAUUUCUGUGGGGUUCUUGAAGACUGCUGCCUUAAUGAUUUAGGUUUUGUUGGUAGAUGGUUCACAUGGGAACGAGGACGAUUUGCAUCGACUAAUAUAAGAGAACGUCUAGAUCGUGGUGUUGUUUAUUUGAGCUGGUUGAAUACUUUUCCUGGGUAUCGACUGGAGCAUUUGAGUCACUCGUUUUCUGACCAUUGCCCUCUUCUUCUGGAUACUCAAGGGGGAGUAGGGUACUACCAGAAUAAGUAUGAGAAGCUUUUUCGUUUUAAAGCCAAGUGGUGUUUGGAGGGUGAGUUUGAAGGUAUGAUUCGGAGUUGGUGGGAAAAAGAAUCUGGAGGUGUACUGAGUAAGUUGGAGAAAUUGGGUUAUCAUUUACUAAAGUGGAGCAAGGUGAAUAGUGUUAAGGAACGAAGGAAUCGGGUAUGUUUAGAAGAUAGACUAAUGAAUAUUUACAAUCAAGAUCCGUCAGAUGAAGUUCUAACUGAGAUUAUGGAGGUCCAAUUGGGGCUUAAUUUGGAAGCUGACAAAGAGGAAUUAUUCUGGGAGCAGCGUGCGAGGGUGAAUUGGCUAAAGAAUGGGGAUCGUAAUACCAGUUUUUUUCACAAGGUUGCUGCUCAACGUCACUUUCGUUGUAGAAUUUCAGAACUGGAAGACGAAGCUGGAAGGCGUUCUAAUUCCACUGAGGAGUUUCUCCAAAUUGCUUUUGACUAUUUUGGUAAGCUUUUUACUACUUCAGAGUCAGGGUCAGAUGAGCACUUGUUUAGCUUAGUUGAGGAAAAAGUUACUUGUAGUAUGAAUGAAAAGCUCUUAAGACAAUUCACGGAGGAAGACAUUGCCUGUGCAGUUAAAUCUUUGGCGCCUUUGAAAGCUCCUGGGUUAGAUGGGUUUCCAGCCCUCUUUUUUCAGCGUUAUUAGCAUAUUGUUGGACCUGAGGUUACCCAAUUUUGUUUAUUCGUUCUACAGGGACAAGAGGAGUUGAGUGCUAUUAACAGAAUGCGUAUUAUCCUGAUUCCAAAGAUUGAUAAGCCGAGUAAUAUGACUCAUUUUCGGCCUAUAAGCCUUUGUAGUGUCAUUUACAAAAUUAUAGCAAAGAUUUUGGUAUUGAGGAUGAGUGAGACGUUGGGGAAUUGUAUUAAUGAAGCUUAAGGGGCCUUUAUUCCAGGCAGACUUAUCUCUGAUAAUGUACUGAUUGCGUAUGAGAUACUUCAUUCCCUAAAAAUGAAGAAGAGAGGCAAAAAAGGUAAUUUUGCGCUUAAGCUCGAUAUGAGUAAAGCGUAUGAUCGUGUGGAAUGGGAUUUUUUGGCAGGUAUGAUGAGGCAUCUGGGUUUUCAUGAGGAUUGGAUCGUUCUUAAUCAUGCGAUGUGUAUGUUCUGUUACGUAUUUCGUCAGUCUUAAUGGAGCUAGUGGGGAUUAGUUUACACCAUCAAGAGGACUCAGACAAGGAGACCCUCUUAGUCCUUAUUUAUUCUUGAUUUGUGCUGAAGGCUUUUUGCUGCUUAUUCAGGAAGCUAAAACUAAAGGGAGGAUGAUGGGGGCACCUAUAGGUAGAGAGAAGUUUUCGGUUAAUCAUUUAUUUUUUGCAGAUGAUUGUGUUCUCUUUGGUGAUGCCUCUCGUGAAGGAGCAGAAAUAGUUCGGGCCAUUAUUCAUGAAUAUGAAAUGGUCUCGGGGCAGAGAGUGAAUUUUGAGAAAUCUCUUAUUUAUUUUGGUGCUAAUGUUGACUCUCGUGUCUAGGAGGAUAUUGUUAAUCUGUUUGGGGUACGGCUCACCUCAAAUCCUGAAAAGUAUCUUGGUUUGCCUUUGAUGGUGGGUAGAAGGAAAAAGUGGGCUUUUGCUCAUUUUGUGGUCCGCUUCAGAAAACGGGUCGAGUGGUGGAGUGUGAGCUAUCUUUCUAUGAGGGAAAAGAGGUUUUUAUUAAAUCUGUUUUGCAGGCUACUCCAAUUUAUGCUAUGCAGUGUUUUUUAUAGCCAAAAUCAUUAUGUAAAACUUUGGAAGGAGUAUUGAAUCGUUUCUGGUGGACGAAUAACAAAACAUCGAAGGGGAUUCAUUGGAGUUCGUGGGAUGUUCUGUGUAAACCAAAAUGCUUUGGCGGAAUGGGGUUUAAAAAUUUAUUCAUAUUUAAUAAGGCCCUUUUAGCGAAGCAAGUGUGGCGUAUUUUAACUAAGCCUCAUUGUUUAUUAGCUAAGGUUUUAAAAGCUCGUUAUUUCCCUUUUUCUACUAUACUAACAGCAAAGGUUGGUUCUUACCAUUCAUUUACCUGGAGGAGUAUUUGUAGUGCGAGGGAUUUGAUCAGUGAUGGUAUCUUGUGGCGAGUGGAUAGUGGUGCAAGUAUCAACAUUUGGAAUGAUCCUUGGCUACCUGGAAGGGGGAACAACAGAAUCCCGGUUAAUAAAAUUAAGCCUCCAUGGUCAACAGUGAAUCAGUUAAUGAAUGAAGUAGAUAGUACCUGGAAUAGUGAGUUGAUUCGCAAUUUAAUGGAUGAUGAUACUGCUAAUCGAAUUCUUGCCAUUCCCAUCUCUGAGAGCCGACCAGAGGAUAUGUUGGUAUGGAAGUUUGACGGCUCAGGUGAGUAUUCAGUUAGGAGUGGGUAUCGAGUUCUCUUUACAGAUUUACAGAGCAAUUUACCUAUGUCAUCUAUCAACGAAAAAUACAAAUGCUUUUACAUGGACCUAUGGAAUUUGCAUAUUCUAGAAAAAAUAAAAAUACAUGUCUGGAGAUUGUUUAAUAACAUGGUGCCUCACUAUGGGAACUUGGCACGCCGAAUGCUGUGUGGAGAGGAGGUGUGCCCACUGUGUAAUGAAGAUUUAGAAACUACGGAGCACUUGUUGGGGUCUUGUAGAAUCCUUCGAACUAUAUGGACAUCAUUACAGGUUCAAAUCCCC
rnacentral:lncRNA from 1 species